rnacentral:rRNA from 2 species
UAGGGAAUCUUCGGCAAUGGACGAAAGUCUGACCGAGCAACGCCGCGUGAGUGAAGAAGGUUUUCGGAUCGUAAAACUCUGUUGUUAGAGAAGAACAAGGACGUUAGUAACUGAACGUCCCCUGACGGUAUCUAACCAGAAAGCCACGGCUAACUACGUGCCAGCAGCCGCGGUAAUACGUAGGUGGCAAGCGUUGUCCGGAUUUAUUGGGCGUAAAGCGAGCGCAGGCGGUUUCUUAAGUCUGAUGUGAAAGCCCCCGGCUCAACCGGGGAGGGUCAUUGGAAACUGAGGGACUUGAGUGCAGAAGAGGAGAGUGGAAUUCCAUGUGUAGCGGUGAAAUGCGUAGAUAUAUGGAGGAACACCAGUGGCGAAGGCGGCUCUCUGGUCUGUAACUGACGCUGAGGCUCGAAAGCGUGGGGAGCAAACAGG